UGGAAGCCAUGUCUCUUUGGCCAUGCCUUCUCUUCUGGGGAGCUACCUUAACAGGUGUCCAGUCCCAAAUCAAGUUUGACCAGCCUGGUUCUGAAGUCAAAAGGCCUGGAGAGACAAUGAGGCUGAGUUGCAAGGCAUCUGGAUAUACAUUUACUUACUAUAGCAUGCACUGGAUUAAACAGGCACCAGGGAAAGGGCUGGAGUGGGUUGGCAGAAUUAGGACAGACAAUUUUGAGACAAUUUAUACUAAAAAACUUGAAGGUCGAGUCACCAUCACAGUGGACACCUCCAUCAGCACCACAUAUCUACAGCUGGCUAACUUGAAAGCUGAAGACACGUCUGUCUAUUACUGUGCAAGAGUCACAGUGGUGAAAACCUCAGAGGCCAAGGAAACAUGUGAUUGUCAAAGCAGCACAUCACUGGUCUGCAUUCAUUAGAAUGGACAUAGGGUCUUGCUAGACCUACCUGCAAAUCCGUGCUGGAGGAGCGGCAAGCCCGCACUACAAGUAGUGCGGGCCGUCACUCCAGUCCAGAUUACUACAUAA